CUUGUUAAAAAGCACUCCUCCUGGGUCCUCCUGUUUUGGGGUGGAGGAAGAGUCAGCACCUCCCUGAAGGAGGUGGAAACUUGAGGAAGAUGAGGUCCGUCCUGCGCUCUCCUUACACACUGAGCCUCCUGAACAGGACUUACUCAUGUGUGUGCAGAGACUAAAGGACAAGACUGUCCAGAGGUCAGAGACCGUGUCUGUCUUAAUCACCACUGAAAUUCCAGAAUCCAAACAGAGUUUCUGGAUAGAGCUAUACAGACAGUCUAGUCUGUGGACAUUUCAGAAUUUGAAAGCUGCUGGCCUUAAGAGUGCUGCUGCGGUAUGUCCACUGGGCAUUCAUGCUAACAAUCCAGGUUCCUGAGCAGAAGUGAAAAUUAAGUUUGAUGACAAGGCUUGGAAAAGGGAGAAGAGCUGGGGAGAAAUACGGAAAAGCUGGGACUGGCAGGAGAGAAAAAGCAAAAUAAAGUUGCAAUGUUCCAGAGGAUUCAGCUCAGGACCCACUUAGAGAAUCACCUGGGACACAUCCAUGUCAGCACAUACAGCCAGGAAACCAUAGCCACCAAAAGGUCUUCCUUCUCUUCC